GAUAGAUAAACCCCUAGCCAGACUAACUAGAGGACACAGGAAUAGUAUCCUACUUAACAAAAUCAGAAAUGAAAAGGGAGAUAUAACAAUAGAAUCUGAGGAAAUCCAAAAAUAUUAAGAUCCUACUAUAAAAGCCUAUACUCCACAAAACUGGAAAACCUGGAUGAAAUGAACAACUUCCUAGACAGAUACCAGGUACCAAAGUUAAAUCAGGAUCAGAUUAAUGAUCUAAACAGUCCCAUAUCCCCUAAAGAAAUAGAAACAGUCAUUAAUAGACUUCCAACGAAAAAAAAAGGCCAGGACCAGAUGGGUUUAGUGCAGAGUUCUAUCAGACCUUUAAAAAGGACCUAAUUCCAAUACUCCUUAAACUAUUCCACAAAAUAGAAACAGAAGGCACUCUACCCAAUUCAUUCUAUGAAGCCACAGUUACUCUGAUACCUAAACCACACAAAGAUCCAACAAAGAGAACUUUAGACAAAUUUCCCUUAUGAAUAUGGAUGCAAAAAUACUCAUUAAAAUUGUCACAAACCGAUUCCAAGAACACAUCAAAAUGAUCAUCUAUCAUGAUCAAGUAGGCUUUAUCUCAGGGAUGCAGGGAUAGUUUAAUACAUGGAAAUCCAUCAACAAAAAUCACUAUAUAAACAAACUCAUAGACAAAACACAUAUGAUCAUCUCAUUAGAUCCUGAGAAAGCACUGGAUAAAAAGUCCAGCUCCACUUCAUGAUAAAAGUCUUAGAAAGAUCAGGAAUUUAAGGGUCAUACCUAAACAUAAUAAAAGCUAAAUACAGCAAACCAGAAGUCAACAUCAAACUAAAUGGUGAGCAACUGGUAGCAAUCUCACUAAAAUCAGGGACUAGACAUGGCUGCCCACUUUCUCCCUACCUAUUCAAUAUAGUACUUGAAGCCCUAGCAAGAGCAAUUAGACAACAAAAGGAGAUCAGGGGGAUACAAAUUAGAAAGGAAGAAGUCAAAAUAUCACUAUUUGCUGGUGAUAUGAUAUUAUAUAUAAGUGACCCUAAAAAUUCUACCAGAGAACUCCUAAACUUGAUAAACAACUUCAGUGAAGUAGCUGGAUAUAAAAUUAACUCAAACAAGUCAGUGGGACCUUUCUCUACAUAAAGAAUAAACAGGCUGAGAAAAAAUUAGGGAAACAACACCCUUCACAAUAGUCACAAAUAAUAUAAAAUACCUUGGUGUGACUCUAACUAAGGAAGUGAAAGAUCUGUACGAUAAGAACUUCAAGUUUUCGAGGAAAGAAAUUGAAGGAGAUCUCAGAAGUUGGAAAGAUCUCCCAUGCUCAUGGAUUGGCAGGAUUAAUAUAGUAAAAAUGGCCAUCUUGCCGAAAGCAAUAUACAGAUUGCAAUGCAAUCCCCAUAAAAAUUCCAACUUAAUUCUUCACAAAGUUAGAAAGGACAAUUUGCAAACUCAUGUAGAAUAAAAAAAAAAAACCCUAGGAUAGCAAAAACUCUUCUCAAUGAUAAAUGAACCUCUGGUGGAAUCACCAUGCCUGACCUCAAGCUGUACUAUAGACCAAUUGUGAUCAAACAAAGAAACAAAACCAAAAACAACAACAACAACAAAAAAAAAAAAAAAACAGCAUGGUACUGUUACAAUGAUGGAUAGGUAGACCAAUGAAAUAGAAUUGAAGACCCAGAAAUGAACCCACACAACUAUCGUCCCUUGAUCUUUGAAAAAGGAUCUAAAACCAUCCAGUGGAAAGAAGAUAGCAUUUUCAACAAAAUGUGCUGUCUCAACUGGUAGUUAUCAUAUAGAAUCAUGCGAAUCGAUCCAUUCUUAUCUCCUUGUAUAAAGUUCAAAUCUAGAACUCCACAUAAAAUGAAAGACACUGAAACUUAUAGAGGAGAAAGUGGGGAAGACCCUCGAAGAUAUAGGCACAGGGAAAAGAUUGCUGAACAGAACAGCAAUGGCCUGAACUGUAAAUCUAGAAUCGACAAAUGGAACCUCAUAAAAUUGCAAAGCUUCUUUAAGGCAAAGGAGACUGUCAAUAAGACCAGAAGGCAACCAACAGAUUAGGAAAAGAUCUUUACCAAUCCUAAAUCUGAUAGGGGGAUAAUAUCCAAUAUAUAU
rnacentral:lncRNA from 1 species